rnacentral:rRNA from 1 species
AUAUUAAGUUAUUAUUUUCUUUUUUUUUUUAUUGAAAUUUUAUUUUAAAUGAAAAUAUUUAAAUUAUUUUAUUAGACAAAAAGACCCUAUGAAGCUUAAAAUUUAAAAAUAUAAUUAAUAUAGUAAUUUAAAUUUAUUAUUUGGGGAAAAUAAUAAUAUUUUUAUUAUAAAAUAUAUAUAUAUAAAAUAAAUAGAUCCUAAAAAGGAAUUAUGAAAUAGCUCCUCUAGGGAUAACAGCAU